GCCAGACUCCUACGGGAGGCAGCAGUGGGGAAUAUUGGGCAAUGGGCGCAAGCCUGACCCAGCAACGCCGCGUGAAGGAAGAAGGCUUUCGGGUUGUAAACUUCUUUUAAGAGGGAAGAGCAGAAGACGGUACCUCUUGAAUAAGCCACGGCUAACUACGUGCCAGCAGCCGCGGUAAUACGGAGGAUGCGAGCGUUAUCCGGAUUUAUUGGGUUUAAAGGGUGCGUAGGCGGUCCGGAAAGUCAGCGGUAAAAGCCGGGGGCUCACCCCCGGCGAGCCGUUGAAACUGUCGGACUAGAGACGGCGAGAAGUACGCGGAAUGCGCGGUGUAGCGGUGAAAUGCAUAGAUAUCGCGCAGAACUCCGAUUGCGAAGGCAGCGUACCGGCGCCGGACUGACGCUGAGGCACGAAAGCGUGGGUAUCGAACAGGAUUAGAUACCCCCGUAC
rnacentral:rRNA from 1 species